rnacentral:rRNA from 1 species
GAUGAACGCUGGCGGCGUGCUUAACACAUGCAAGUCGAACGAAGCAUUUGCGACAGAUUUUUUCGGAAUGAAGUUGCUUAUGACUGAGUGGCGGACGGGUGAGUAACGCGUGGGUAACCUGCCUUGUACUGGGGGAUAGCAGCUGGAAACGGCUGGUAAUACCGCAUAAGCGCACAAUGUUGCAUGACAUGGUGUGAAAAACUCCGGUGGUAUAAGAUGGACCCGCGUCUGAUUAGCUAGUUGGUGAGAUAACAGCCCACCAAGGCGACGAUCAGUAGCCGACCUGAGAGGGUGACCGGCCACAUUGGGACUGAGACACGGCCCAGACUCCUACGGGAGGCAGCAGUGGGGAAUAUUGCACAAUGGAGGAAACUCUGAUGCAGCGACGCCGCGUGAGUGAAGAAGUAAUUCGUUAUGUAAAGCUCUACCAGCAGGGAAGAUAGUGACGGUACCUGACGAAGAAGCUCCGGCUAAAUACGUG